GGGACAGGGGAUGGGCUUCAAAACAAAAAAAUGAUGGACCCAUACCCCACAGAGUGGAGGAGAUCAGCAAAAUUAAUGAGGCAGCACUAAUUUGGCCCCUCUUAUCCAAAAAGUGACUUGACGUUCGCAAUAACGAGUUUAAUUUCUCCCAAUUACCGGAGUUUAUUUUUAACCUGUUCGGAAGUAGAUGCAAAACAAAAGGAAAUCUGUUUUUAAGCUUGAGUUUCAAUAAGACAAGCUGCCAACGUCUAAAUGUUAUUGUACCUUGGGAUGUCAGUGUGAAUACUGGGUCAUGAGGACUCGAAACGUCAACUGUACUCUUCGCCGAUGCUGCCUGACCUGCUGAGUUUUUCCAGAUAAUGGACGCAAGUAGCUACUCCUUGCUGAGGUGUCUGUCCGUUGAACCAGAUUGUUAAAUGAGACAGUGAUUUACCAGAAUCCUGGUGCUUCUAGUAAAAGAUGGGGUGGAAUUUUCCAGUGCCACCAGCAUCAGGCAUUGUAAUGGGCAGGAGGGGAAAAUUUGGAGAGCGGCCAAAAGUCCCACUGCAUUGAUGCCCACUGCUGGCGGGACUGUGUCUCUGUUUUGACGUGGCUUCCGUAUCAUUGGUCAGUCCAGAAUUGUAUCCAUCCUCCAGAAUUUUCCCGUUGCAAGACCUAGAGGAGGUGCAGCCGCAGAACAGAAUUCACAACUACAGGCUUCAUUUCUCUUGUUUUCUUGCAGCAUCAAUUUGAAGGGAAAGAAAUUGCAUUCAUAUAGCACCUUUCACAACCUCGGGAUGACCCAGAACAGCCAAUGAAAUGCUUUUGAAGUGUAGUCAAUGUUGUGAAUGUUGUGAAUGUUGCACAGCAAGAUCCCACAAAUAGCAAUGAAGUAACGAGCAGAUUGGUUUUGAAUUGGCCCUCAUUCAAGAGCCUGCUACGACCUCUGGCUCUAUUGUAGAGUGUUUAACUUGAGACGUUGUGGCCGGCCGUUGUCAUUUCCCUGGAUAAUUUGCCCUCUUGCCAUGGCUUGUUAAAGCGGACAAAAUGAGCACAAGUGAAAUGGACAUGUUACAUUUUUUUUUAGAAUUUCUGCUCCUUGUCCAGGCAAAGCUGCAUUUUACUGAAGACAAAAAUGAUCAUUUAUUGGAACCUAAAUGUUUGAAGUGCCUGCUCGGCAACUACAAGCCUUGAGUUUGAUAAAACUAAGUCUUUUUAAACUGCUAGGAGGAGGCAUUUUUAUGCUUUGAACUGUUCCAGUUCGAUUUCACAAUCAAAUGAAGAUGAUGUAUAGCACAGGUUCACUUUUAUAUGUUUGGGACUAAGUGUUGUGGAUUUUGAUUUCCCAUUGACCUUCUCAUUUCCAUGCCUCAAGAUUUAUGUUUGGAGAAGACACUAAUUUGUUUAAAAAAAAUAUUUGUUCAUAGGAACUGGGUGAUGCUGGCAAGAUCUGAGGCAGGUUGUUUAAUUCCCUGAUGCUCCUGACUGUAUCCCUCUCCCUAGCUCAACGCGGAAUGCUCAUUAUCCUGUUCAAUCCUGAGUUGAGCAUUGAGAUUUUUUUUUUUUUUUUUUAUUUCUUCUCCAGGGUGUGGGCAUUGCUGACCAGGCCAGCUUUUAUUGCCCAUCCCUAAUUGCCCUUGAAAAUGUGGUGGUGAGCUGCCUUCUUGAACCGCUGCAGCCCAUAUGGUGCAGGUACACAUUCACUUAUUGACUUUCUAGCCGUUUGAUACAACUGAGUAGCUUGCUAGACCAGCUCAACGGGCGUUUCCGAGUCCUCCGCCCUAUCCAUCACCAAGAUAGCGUACUUUGAACUAUGCAAGAUCCACACUUUCCUCACUCCGAUCUGCGCUCCUCCGCUGCUGAGUGUUGUGUCCAUGUCCUCAAACUCACUCAAUUUUUCAACUGCCCUCCUCACCAUUGUUCAGAACUCCUCUUUAUAAAGCUCCGAAAGAUCUAAAGCCCUUACCACUUGCAUUAGGUCUUACUGACCCAUCAGCUCUAUUCUCACUGACCUAGCCACUCUCUUCCUAUCACCCAACAGAUGAAUUCAGAUUUUUUUUGGGUCUGUCUUUGAGUCCUUAAAUGCCCUUAAUCUGAACUGUUCCUACAACCAAUCCCAGCCUUAUUUCCAGCCUAUAGACUGCUGUGGGCUUGCUACCUUACAUUCAUUCCUAAUUUAAAUGGCUCAGUUAAAAAAAUUCCCUUUGUUUUCUGCAUAGAGGUUUAUGGCACAGAAGGAGGCUAUUCUACAUCCCCUGCUGACUGAUGAAGCUAUCCAGUCUAUCCUUAUUUCCAAUUGCUCCAUAGCCUCACCCCUCCCUGUCUCUGUAAUCUCCCCCAGCCUCGGAACCCUCUGAGAUAUCUGCACUCAACUAAUUCUGGCCUCUUGAGCAUGCCUGAUUUUAAUCGCUCUGCUAUUGGAGGGCAUGCCUUGAGCUAUCUUGACUCUAAGCUUUGGAAUACCCUGGCUAUAUAUCUCUCCACCUCUCUACCUUGCUUUCCUCCUUUAAGACACACUCCUUAAACCUUCCUCUUAGGUCAAGCUUUUGGUCAUCUGUCUUAUAUGUACUUAUGUCAUAUUUUGUAAUGCGCUUACGCAGUGCCUUCAUUAUAUUGAAAGUGCUAUAUAAAUGCAAGUUGCUAUUGUUGAUUUCCACGUUAUAAUCACUUUGUGGGUAAAUAAAUUCCUCCUGAACUCCUGA